rnacentral:rRNA from 1 species
GAUGAACGCUGGCGGCGUGCUUAACACAUGCAAGUCGAACGGUGAACGAGGGAGCUUGCUCCCUCCGGAUCAGUGGCGAACGGGUGAGUAACACGUGAGCAAUCUGCCCUGGACUCUGGGAUAAGCGUUGGAAACGACGUCUAAUACCGGAUACGAGACGCGAAGGCAUCUUCAGCGUCUGGAAAGAACUUCGGUCCAGGAUGAGCUCGCGGCCUAUCAGGUAGUUGGUGAGGUAACGGCUCGCCAAGCCUACGACGGGUAGCCGGCCUGAGAGGGUGACCGGCCACACUGGGACUGAGACACGGCCCAGACUCCUACGGGAGGCAGCUGUGGGGAAUAUUGCACAAUGGGCGCAAGCCUGAUGCAGCAACGCCGCGUGAGGGACGACGGCCUUCGGGUUGUAAACCUCUUUUAGCAGGGAAGAAGCGAAAGUGACGGUACCUGCAGAAAAAGCACCGGCUAACUACGUGCCAGCCGCCGCGGUAACAC